ACCGACGUCAACAUCGGCGACAUGGCAGAAGCGAACGUUAUAACAGACAUCAGAAUAGGCAAGUCUUCACGUGCAUUUUUAAAUGCUGUAUUGAUAUAAAUGUUUCAAAUUUAUUAAGUAAAAUUGUUAUUAGUAUUUUGCUAAUCUAAGACCACUUAAAAGUUUUACUGUGCAAUUCGAAUUUUCUCAUCGUCAUGCCUAUAUACUUAUACAUCAUACUCAUAGUGUAGAGUUUCUUCAGUGGUAUAAAAACAAAGGGUUUUUUAAAAACUAAUAUUUUAUAAUGAAACAUUUUUGAAUUGCAAGACUACUUGGAAUUCCAAAUCAAUACUUUCAAAAUUAAAAAGCUAAAAGUUUUUACUCCCCCCCCCCCUAUAGAAAUUAAUAGUAAAAUCACAUAAUUUAUAAUUAUCAUAUACCACAAGAAUUUUUGAUUUUGUCACUCUUAUAAAACUGUAAAUGAAUAUUUUCAAUUGAGCUCCAAAAUUAUAUAGAGUACAAUAAUUCUUAUUUUGUAUGUUUGUAUUUACAUACUGUAACUUUGAUAUAAUUAUUAUAGUUUGAUUUUACUAGUACAGAUAUGUACAUGUACCUAUAUGUAUACACAUGUAUGUAUAUUAAUUAUAUAUGUACAUGUAUCUUAUUGUGUAGUGUGGUUGUAUACCAACAUGUUUGGUGAACCAAUAAUUUAAAGUAAAGAUACUUUGCUGCACCAUAUUUAUUAUAUUUUCAGAAGUGUGUGCUGGUCAUCCAUCUUCAUGAAUGUCACUGCUGGUCGGUGUGAAAACUAAAAGAUGUUUCUUAAAAUCUGUUUUUGAUAUUUGCUGGCAAAUAUCAAGCAAUCAAACUGUGUUAACUGCUGGACAGUGAACUGGUCAAUUAAAAAAAUAUAUGUCAAAAAAUAAUUUGGCAAUGGUUUAUUAAAAAAUAAAAAUU
rnacentral:misc_RNA from 1 species